UGGACGAAAGUCUGACGGAGCAACGCCGCGUGAGUGAUGAAGGUUUUCGGAUCGUAAAGCUCUGUUGUUAGGGAAGAACAAGUGCCGUUCAAAUAGGGCGGCACCUUGACGGUACCUAACCAGAAAGCCACGGCUAACUACGUGCCAGCAGCCGCGGUAAUACGUAGGUGGCAAGCGUUGUCCGGAAUUAUUGGGCGUAAAGGGCUCGCAGGCGGUUUCUUAAGUCUGAUGUGAAAGCCCCCGGCUCAACCGGGGAGGGUCAUUGGAAACUGGGGAACUUGAGUGCAGAAGAGGAGAGUGGAAUUCCACGUGUAGCGGUGAAAUGCGUAGAGAUGUGGAGGAACACCAGUGGCGAAGGCGACUCUCUGGUCUGUAACUGACGCUGAGGAGCGAAAGCGUGGGGAGCGAACAGGAUUAGAUACCCUGGUAGUCCACGCCGUAAACGAUGAGUGCUAAGUGUUAGGGGGUUUCCGCCCCUUAGUGCUGCAGCUAACGCA
rnacentral:rRNA from 1 species